GGGGUGCUGGUUCCGAGGCCUGCACGGCUUGCGAGCCGCGCGCCUUCAGAUGCAUUAGCGGCUGCCCCGAGAGCAAGUCCGACUCCGUGUAAUGAAACACAUCUCGCGCGGAGGAGUGCCCCUGGUGCACACUUGCGACCGUCGCGACCGCUCCGAACCUGCCUCCGGGCAAAAGAGCAGUGCCUGCGGUGUUGCUCGAUCAUGACAUUGGCCUCAGUUGGGUGGGAUUACCCGCUUGAUUUAAGCAUAUUAUUCAGCGGAGGAAAAGAAACUAACAAGGAUUCCCCCAGUAACGGCGAGUGAAGAGGGAAGAGCUCAAAGUGUGAAUCUGGCAUGGCCUCGCCGUGACCCGAGUUGUGCACUAGAGACGUCGCCGUCCGCGCUUGAGACCCGAAGCUUUUAAGUCGUCUGGAAAGGCGCUUCACAGAGGGUGAUAGUCCCGUAUGUGGCUCUCGGUUGCACUCGCGCCUGUGAGGCACGCUCGUUGAGUCGCGUAGUUUCGUAUUGCUGCGCAAAUUGGGUGGUAGAUGCCAUCUAAAGCUAAAUAUACUGCCAUGUCCGAUAGCUCACAAGUACCGCGAGGGAAAGGUGAAAAGCACUUUGGAAAGAGAGUGAAACAGUUGUGAAAGCGCUAUCAGGGAAAGGUUGGCUCGCGCUGUCGUCCGUCCGUCCAUGCUUCACUGCUGGUUCGGCGAUGCGUCAGAACCCAUUGGGACCGGGAGACGUGGCGGCGGAGGAAUCGGCCCCUCGGGGUGUUGCAACUCUGCAUSSCCGAGCGCSSCGGGAGGCGAUGUGGGCUUGGGCAUGCGGCUCGCCGUUGUGCCCGC
rnacentral:rRNA from 1 species